rnacentral:misc_RNA from 1 species
GAUGAAGAACGUAGCGAAAUGCGAUAAGUAAUGUGAAUUGCAGAAUUCAGUGAAUCAUCGAAUCUUUGAACGCACAUUGCGCCCCCUGGUAUUCCGGGGGGCAUGCCUGUCCGAGCGUCAUUACAACCCUCAAGCUCAGCUUGGUGUUGGGCCCCGCCGCCCCGGCGGGCCCUAAAGUCAGUGGCGGUGCCGUCCGGCUCCGAGCGUAGUAAUUCUUCUCGCUCCGGAGGUCCGGUCGUGUGCUCGCCAGCAACCCCCAAUUUUUUUCAGGUUGACCUCGGAUCAGGUAGGGAUACCCGCUGAACUUAAGCAUAUCAAUAAGCGGAGGA